AUGCUCAGUGAUUACAAAAAUAUGCGUUAUUCUGAGGAAGCAAACUGCCGCCAGCCUCUUUCUCCCUCUGCUUCUCCUCCUCCUCUCCUUCCGUUUUCCUCUUCUUCCUCCUUGACUUCCUCACGCUGGGCGGCGGUCCACUGAUUGCGAUUAUGAAACCUGAGGGCAU